rnacentral:rRNA from 1 species
AGUGAACGCUGGCGGUAGGCCUAACACAUGCAAGUCGAACGGCAGCACAGUAAGAGCUUGCCCUUACGGGUGGCGAGUGGCGGACGGGUGAGGAAUACAUCGGAAUCUACUUUUUCGUGGGGGAUAACGUAGGGAAACUUACGCUAAUACCGCAUACGACCUACGGGUGAAAGCAGGGGAUCUUCGGACCUUGCGCGAUUGAAUGAGCCGAUGUCGGAUUAGCUAGUUGGCGGGGUAAAGGCCCACCAAGGCGACGAUCCGUAGCUGGUCUGAGAGGAUAAUCAGCCACACUGGAACUGGGACACGGUCCAGACUCCUACGGGAGGCAGCAGUGGGGAAUAUUGGACAAUGGGCGCAAGCCUGAUCCAGCCAUACCGCGUGGGUGAAGAAGGCCUUCGGGUUGUAAAGCCCUUUUGUUGGGAAAGAAAAGCAGCAGGUUAAUACCCCGCUGUUCUGACGGUACCCAAAGAAUAAGCACCGGCUAACUUCGUG